AUUGAACGCUGGCGGCAGGCCUAACACAUGCAAGUCGAGCGAGCGGCGGACGGGUGAGUAAUGUCUGGGAAACUGCCUGAUGGAGGGGGAUAACUAAUGUAAACGGUAGCUACUACCGCAUACAAUCAGAUGUGCCCAGAUGGGAUUAGCUAGUCGGUGGGGUAACGGCUCACCUAGGCGACGAUCCCUAGCUGGUAUGAGAGGAUGACCAGCCACACUGGAACUGGGACACAGUGCUGACACCUACGGGAGGCAGCAUUGGGGGAUAGUGCACAAUGGGCGCAAGCCUGAUGCAUCCAUGCCGCGUGUGUGAAGAGUGCCUUCGAGUUGUAAAGCACUUUCAGCGGGGAGGCGUUACCCGCAGAAGAAGCACCGGCUAACUCCGUGCCAGCAGCCGCGGUAAUAC
rnacentral:rRNA from 1 species